GGCGGACGGGUGAGUAACGCGUAAAGAACUUGCCCUUUAGACUGGGAUAACAGAGGGAAACUUCUGAUAAUACUGGAUAAGUUAGUAUAUCGCAUGAUAUGCAAAUGAAAGCUACGGCACUAAAGGAGAGCUUUGCGUCCUAUUAGCUAGUUGGUAAGGUAAGAGCUUACCAAGGCGAUGAUAGGUAGCCGGCCUGAGAGGGUGGACGGCCACAAGGGGACUGAGAUACGGCCCUUACUCCUACGGGAGGCAGCAGAA
rnacentral:rRNA from 1 species